GACGAACGCUGGCGGCGUGCUUAACACAUGCAAGUCGAACGGAAAGGCCCUGCUUUUGUUGGGUUCUCGAUUGGCGAACGGGUGAGUAACACGUGAGUAACCUGCCCUUGACUUUGGGAUAACUUCAGGAAACUGGGGCUAAUAUCGGAUAGGAGCUCCUGCUGCAUGGUGGGGGUUGGAAAGUUUCGGCGGUUGGGGAUGGACUCGCGGCUUAUCAGCUUGUUGGUGGGGUAGUGGCUGACCAAGGCUUUGACGGGUAGCCGGCCUGAGAGGGUGAACGGCGACAUUGGGACUGCGGUACGGCGCAGACUCCUACGGGAGGCAGCAGUGGGGAGUCUUGCACAGUGGGCGCAAGCGUGAUGCAGCAACCCCGCGUGCGGGAUGCCGGCCUUCGGGUUGUAAACCGAUUUCGCCUGUGACGAAGCGUGAGUGACGGUAAUGGGUAAAGAAGCACCGGCUAACUACGUG
rnacentral:rRNA from 1 species